CCUGGUUGAUCCUGCCAGUAGCAUAUGCUUAUCUUGGAGAUUAAGCCAUGCAUGUCUAAGUAUAAAUUAUAUAUGGUGAAACUGCGAAUGGCUCAUUAAAACAGUUAUAGUAUAUUUGAUAAUGUUUUUAUACGGAUAACCGUUGGGAAACCAGAGCUAAUACGUGCUUAUAAUACCUUUUGGUAGUAUUUAUUAGUUUUUAACCAAGAACUUUCUUGUGAUGAAUCGUAAUAACUGAUCGGAUCGCAUUAAGUAUGCGAUAAAUCUUGCUAGUUUCUGCCCUAUCAGCUUUCGAUGGUAGUGUAUUGGACUACCAUGGCUAUCACGGGUAACGGAGAAUUAGGGUUCGAUUCCGGAGAGGGAGCCUGAGAAACGGCUACCACAUCCACGGUAGGCAGCAGGCGCGUAAAUUACCCAAUCUUGACUCAGGGAGGUAGUCACGAGAAAUAUUAGCUUGGCCCUACACGGGCUAAAUACAUUAUGGGUUGAAUAUAGACCAUUCUUCGAAAUCAAUUGGAGGGCAAGUCUGGUGCCAGCAGCCGCGGUAACUCCAGCUCCAAUAGUGUAUCUUAACGUUGUUGCAGUUAAAAAGCUCGUAGUUGAAUUUCUGGAAGGGCCGCUUCGGUUAUCGCCUGGUGGCCCUUUCAUCCGCCUUGGAACUAGGAUGGGUAUUUAGUUACUGGCCUAGGGAAGUGGCAUUUUACUUUGAAGAAAUUAGAGUGUUCAUAGCAGGCUUUUGCUUGAAUAUAUCAGCAUGGAAUAAUGGAAUAGGACAUCGUCCGUCUCUUGGUGACUGGACAUGUAAUGAUUAACAGGGACAGUUGGGGGCAUUCGUAUUCGUUAGUCAGAGG
rnacentral:rRNA from 1 species